rnacentral:rRNA from 1 species
UCAGGAUGAACGCUGGCGGCGUGCCUAACACAUGCAAGUCGAGCGAUCUCUUCGGAGAGAGCGGCGGACGGGUGAGUAACGCGUGGGUAACCUGCCCUGUACACACGGAUAACAUACCGAAAGGUAUACUAAUACGGGAUAACAUACGAAAGUCGCAUGGCUUUUGUAUCAAAGCUCCGGCGGUACAGGAUGGACCCGCGUCUGAUUAGCUAGUUGGUAAGGUAAUGGCUUACCAAGGCAACGAUCAGUAGCCGACCUGAGAGGGUGAUCGGCCACACUGGAACUGAGACACGGUCCAGACUCCUACGGGAGGCAGCAGUGGGGAAUAUUGCACAAUGGGCGAAAGCCUGAUGCAGCAACGCCGCGUGAGCGAUGAAGGCCUUCGGGU